CUGGCUCCACAGCCUGAGGGGACACCUCCGGAGCCCGCAACUGCCCCGGGGCGUGCCGGCUGUCCCUGCCGCCUCAGCCCGCCUCAGUGCUGCCCACUCCCUCCGCCCGGCCCCAGCCGCCGGCCCCUGACCCCGGCGGAGAUCAUGGAUCAGGCAGAUAACAAUCAACAAGAAAUCCCUUCAUACCUUAGUGAUGAACCACCAGAAGGUUCAGUGGAAGAUCACCCACAGCAGCAGCCAGGCAUGUUGUCCCGUGUGACUGGGGGUAUCUUCAGCGUUACAAAGGGAGCUGUUGGUGCCACCAUGGGUGGUGUGGCUUGGAUUGGUGGCAAAAGUCUGGAGGUGACCAAAACAGCUGUUACAACUGUGCCUUCCAUGGGAAUAGGGCUGGUGAAAGGGGGUGUGUCUGCCGUGGCUGGAGGAGUUACAGCUGUUGGGUCUGCUGUUGUAAACAAAGUGCCCUUAACAGGAAAGAAGAAAGACAAAUCUGACUAAAAUAUGGAGAUACACUUGCUCUCCACAGCAUUAUGAUGCCAGUGGCAUUGAAUUGCUAAAUAAUGGACUAUAACCAAGUCACCUGUUUUGGACAUUUAUCUUCUAAACUGCUGUGUUGAAAGUAUUGAUGACUGGCUUUCAUCUAAAAAGAAGAGACCAAUACAAGCACAGUGUGUGAAGGUUUCUCAUAGUUUCAGCUUUUUAUCUGGUAAAAUGUUAUACUUAUUCAGUUGUAACUGAAGAUAUGGUAUGUUUGAAUAUUUACUGUAAGUCUUUCAGUUUGACUAAAAAUGUGAAAGUUGAAUUUAGUAGAUGAUCUUUAUUACAGUUCCACAUGUAUAAUGUGCCAGGUAACUCAUCCGCCCCUUAAGAAGGGAACCUUGAACUACAUAAACUGUACCUUUGAUGUGCCUACUAGUUUCAGAUGUCUUAGUUUUUUUAUAACCAUAGUUGAUUAGUCAAGAGGCAUUCUUUUCUUAGCUAAGUUGGCAAAAGUAGCAGGAAUUAGAGAAGUUUAAAAGAAAAGAUAAAUGGUUUUAUGAUACUGAGUGUUAACCAUCUUUUGUUAGAUAUGCAUUUUAUUAAUUUAAUUAUUGAUGCCUUACAAAAGAAAACAUCUUUGCUAAUACCCUAAGUAUGUGCAGUUCUUAGAAUUAUCUAUGGAUUCUUUUAAAGAUUGUGAAAUUAGUUUUUCCCUCUUUAGAAUCUCAGGAGUAGUAGGAUAAAGGCAUUUCUUGCUGUCAGUGGAUUAAGAUAGUGCUUGUUAACUGUCUUGUUAGUAGUUAAAAUCAAAUUAUACACUUCAACCUGGGUUCAUGCUCCAUCAUUAAUACACCUCACAGUGCCUAAGGAACAUUAAUUUACUGAUCAAAAGC